UGGGUGGCCAUUUCCUUCUCCAGGGGAUCUGCCGGACCCAGGGAUCCAAACCUUCCUCUCCUGUAUUGGCAGGUGGAUUCUUUACCACUGAGCCACCCAGGAAGCCUGCUGUGGCUCCCAGGAAACAACAAAAUCAGCCAUCACCUAUAGCAGUCACUUGAUCUCAGGAUUUUGGUGAUGGCUGUUCUGCUGUUUUUCCAGAUUUAUCUCUGAUUUUCUCUUUUUGCAGUGUUCUUGCCUGGAGAAUCCCAGGGACGGGGAAGCCUGGUGGGCUGCCUUCUAUGGGGGUGCACAGAGUUGGACACGACUGAAACGACUUAGCAGCAGCAGCAAGCUUAAAAAAUACAAGAGAGCUGCCCCCAUGCCUGAGUGCAUGCAUCAGACAGAGAGAAAGAGCGUGUUCUUCCUCUUCUCUCCUGGAGUUGGGAGGAGUUCUUUAAUUGGUUCCCAGGCCUUCAGAUAUGUUUAUUUAACACGGUAUUCAAACUCCAUUAUCUCUGAAGGAAAGGAACACAGAGAAAAUCUACAAACAAAAUGCUCUCUAAUGGUACAUGGACACAGGUUUACCUGACACUCGCCUUUGCUGGUCUAAGAGUAUAGCAAGGCCUCUCCGUGGCUUGGACCAGGCAUCCUCUCUAUGCCCAGGGGUGAGUGGAAAUACCUGAUGAGUAUUCCCACCAAGAUGGUGUGGGGGAAGUGGUUCAUUCCAGGAAGG
rnacentral:lncRNA from 1 species